UACGUAGGGGGCAAGCGUUGUCCGGAUUUAUUGGGCGUAAAGAGCGUGUAGGCGGCUUGGAAGGUCAGCUGUGAAAACUCGAGGCUCAACCUCGAGACGUCGGUUGAAACCACCUGGCUAGAGUCCGGAAGAGGAGAGUGGAAUUCCCGGUGUAGCGGUGAAAUGCGCAGAUAUCGGGAAGAACACCCGUGGCGAAGGCGGCUCUCUGGGACGGUACUGACGCUGAGACGCGAAAGCGUGGGGAGCGAACGAGG
rnacentral:rRNA from 1 species